AUUUGGCAGUGAGGAUGAACAGACAGCUUUAGAAUGCCAGUUCUGCUUCUGAAAAUUCUUGAUUGAUACAGCUGUUUUGUAUUCUGAGCCCUCU